rnacentral:rRNA from 1 species
UACGUAGGGUGCAAGCGUUAAUCGGAAUUACUGGGCGUAAAGCGUGCGCAGGCGGUUUUGUAAGUCUGUCGUGAAAUCCCCCGGGCUCAACCUGGGAAUUGCGAUGGAGACUGCAAGGCUAGAAUCUGGCAGAGGGGGGGGUAGAAUUCCACGUGUAGCAGUGAAAUGCGUAGAGAUGUGGAGGAACACCGAUGGCGAAGGCAGCCCCCUGGGUCAAGAUUGACGCUCAUGCACGAAAGCGUGGGGAGCAAACAGG